rnacentral:rRNA from 1 species
CCUACGGGAGACAGCAGUGAGGAAUAUUGGUCAAUGGACGAGAGUCUGAACCAGCCAAGUAGCGUGAAGGAUGACUGCCCUAUGGGUUGUAAACUUCUUUUAUAUGGGAAUAAAAUGUUCCACGUGUGGGAUUUUGUAUGUACCAUAUGAAUAAGGAUCGGCUAACUCCGUGCCAGCAGCCGCGGUAAUACGGAGGGUCCGAGCGUUAGCCGGAUUUAUUGGGUUUAAAGGGAGCGUAGGUGGAUUGUUAAGUCAGUUGUGAAAGUUUGCGGCUCAAACGUAAAAUUGCAGUUGAAACUGGCAGUCUUGAGUACAGUAGAGGUGGGCGGAAUUCGUGGUGUAGCGGUGAAAUGCUUAGAUAUCACGAAGAACUCCGAUUGCGAAGGCAGUUCACUGGACUGCAACUGACACUGAGGCUCGAAAGUGUGGGUAUCAAACAGGAUUAGAUACCCUUGUAGUC